rnacentral:rRNA from 1 species
UACGAAGGGGGCUAGCGUUGUUCGGAAUUACUGGGCGUAAAGCGCGUGUAGGCGGGUCUUUAAGUCAGGGGUGAAAUGCCAAGGCUCAACCUUGGAACUGCCUUUGAUACUGGAGACCUUGAGUCCGGGAGAGGUGAGUGGAAUUGCGAGUGUAGAGGUGAAAUUCGUAGAUAUUCGCAAGAACACCAGUGGCGAAGGCGGCUCACUGGCCCGGUACUGACGCUGAGACGCGAAAGCGUGGGGAGCAAACAGG